UACGAACGGUGCGAACGUUGUUCGGAAUCACUGGGCUUAAAGGGCGCGUAGGCGGGCCGCCGCGUCCGGGGUGAAAUCCCCCCGCUCAACGGGGGGACGGCCUCGGAUACGGGAGGGCUGGAGGCGGGUAGGGGGACGCGGAACUGUGGGUGGAGCGGUGAAAUGCGUAGAUAUCAGGAGGAACACCUGUGGUGUAGACAGCUUACUGGACCAUUUCUGACGCUGAGACACGAAAGCGUGGGUAGCAAACAGG
rnacentral:rRNA from 1 species